rnacentral:tRNA from 1 species
CGUCGCGGGUGCCGCGCACGAUCUGGCGUUCGCGCCGCCGGUCGGUCAAUCGAUCGGCGGAAUCCGGCGUUUCGAAUUGCGUCCGCGGCGC